rnacentral:rRNA from 1 species
AUGGAGCCGACCUUGAAAUACCACCCUUUAAUGUUUGAUGUUCUAACGUUGACCCGUAAUCCGGGUUGCGGACAGUGUCUGGUGGGUAGUUUGACUGGGGCGGUCUCCUCCUAAAGAGUAACGGAGGAGCACGAAGGUUGGCUAAUCCUGGUCGGACAUCAGGAGGUUAGUGCAAUGGCAUAAGCCAGCUUGACUGCGAGCGUGACGGCGCGAGCAGGUGCGAAAGCAGGUCAUAGUGAUCCGGUGGUUCUGAAUGGAAGGGCCAUCGCUCAACGGAUAAAAGGUACUCCGGGGAUAACAGGCUGAUACCGCCCAAGAGUUCAUAUCGACGGCGGUGUUUGGCACCUCGAUGUCGGCUCAUCACAUCCUGGGGCUGAAGUAGGUCCCAAGGGUAUGGCUGUUCGCCAUUUAAAGUGGUACGCGAGCUGGGUUUAGAACGUCGUGAGACAGUUCGGUCCCUAUCUGCCGUGGGCGCUGGAGAACUGAGGGGGGCUGCUCCUAGUACGAGAGGACCGGAGUGGACGCAUCACUGGUGUUCGGGUUGUCAUGCCAAUGGCACUGCCCGGUAGCUAAAUGCGGAAGAGAUAAGUGCUGAAAGCAUCUAAGCACGAAACUUGCCCCGAGAUGAGUUCUCCCUGACUCCUUGAGAGUC